UACGAACUGUGCGAACGUUAUUCGGAAUCACUGGGCUUAAAGGGUGCGUAGGCGGCUGCCUAAGUCAGGUGUGAAAUCUCCCGGCUCAACCGGGAAACUGCGCUUGAUACUGGGCGGCUCGAGUGAGGUAGGGGUGUGUGGAACUUCCGGUGGAGCGGUGAAAUGUGUAGAUAUCGGAAGGAAUGCCAGCAGCGAAAGCGGCACACUGGGCCUUUUCUGACGCUGAGGCACGAAAGCCAGGGGGAGCAAACGGG
rnacentral:rRNA from 1 species